rnacentral:tRNA from 1 species
GUGCCCAUAGCUCAGCUGGAUAGAGCAACAGCCUUCUAAGCUGUGGGUCGUAGGUUCGAAUCCUACUGGGCACA